AUUGAACGCUGGCGGCAUGCCUUACACAUGCAAGUCGAACGGCAGCACGGGAGCAAUCCUGGUGGCGAGUGGCGAACGGGUGAGUAAAGUAUCGGAACGUGCCCAGUCGUGGGGGAUAACGUAGCGAAAGUUACGCUAAUACCGCAUACGAUCUAUGGAUGAAAGCGGGGGAUCGCAAGACCUCGCGCGAUUGGAGCGGCCGAUAUCAGAUUAGGUAGUUGGUGGGGUAAAGGCCCACCAAGCCGACGAUCUGUAGCUGGUCUGAGAGGACGCCCAGCCACACGGGGACUGAGACACGGCUCAGACUCCUACGGGAGGCAGCAGUGGGGAAUUUUGGACAAUGGGCGAAAGCCUGAUCCAGCCAUGCCGCGUGCAGGAUGAAGGCCUUCGGGUUGUAAACUGCUUUUGUACGGAACGAAAAGGACUGCCCUAAUACGGUGGUCCCAUGACGGUGCCGUAAGAAUAAGCACCGGCUAACUACGUGCCAGCCGCCGCCGUAA
rnacentral:rRNA from 1 species